GCGAGCCUGGCACUGUGCACAUGUGGUAUGGUACGUUGGAGUGACAUUGACACUGUAUGCUGUGGCAUAGCAAGGUGGGGUGAGCCUGGCACUGUAUGUUGUAGGCAAGUUGGGGAGAGCCUGGCACUGUGCACAGGUAGUAUGGCAGGUUGGGGUGAGCCUGGCAUUGUACAUGUUGUAGGCAAGUUGGGGCGAGCCUGGUACUGUGCACAUAUUGUUAAGUUGGUUGUUGUGAGUUUGGCACUGUGUACAUUAAAUAUGGCAGGUUGGGGUGAUCCUGACACUGUGUACAUGUGGUAUGGUACGUUGGAGUGACAUUGACAAUGUAUGUUGUGGCAUAGCAAGGUGGGGUGAGCCUGGCACUUUGUACAUAAGGUUGUGGUAAACCUGGCUCUGUGUAUAAGUUGUGGUAUGGCAGGC